UAUACCUACGGGGGGCAGCAGUGGGGAAUAUUGGGCAAUGGGCGAAAGCCUGACCCAGCAAUGCCGCGUGAAUGAAGAAGGUCUUAGGAUUGUAAAAUUCUGUCCUAUGGGAAGAAACAAAUGACGGUACCUGACGAAUAAGCCACGGCUAACUACGUGCCAGCAGCCGCGGUAAUACGUAGGUGGCAAGCGUUAUCCGGAUUUACUGGGUGUAAAGGGCGUGUAGGCGGGGAGGCAAGUCAGAUGUGAAAACCACGGGCUCAACC
rnacentral:rRNA from 1 species